rnacentral:rRNA from 1 species
CACCGCCCGUCACACCCUGGGAAUUGGUUUCGCCCGAAGCAUCGGACCAAUGAUCACCCAUGACUUCUGUGUACCACUAGUGCCACAAAGGCCUUUGGUGGUCUUAUUGGCGCAUACCACGGUGGGGUCUUCGACUGGGGUGAAGUCGUAACAAGGUAGUCGUAGGGGAACCUGUGGCUG